CCUACGGGAGGCAGCAGUAAGGAAUAUUGGUCAAUGGACGAAAGUCUGAACCAGCCAUGCCGCGUGAAGGAUGAAGGCCCUCUGGGUUGUAAACUUCUUUUAUAGGGGACGAAAAAAGGGCAUUCUUGCUCACUUGACGGUACCCUAGGAAUAAGCACCGGCUAACUCCGUGCCAGCAGCCGCGGUAAUACGGAGGGUGCAAGCGUUAUCCGGAUUUACUGGGUUUAAAGGGUGCGUAGGUGGGUUGGUAAGUCAGCGGUGAAAUCUUCGAGCUUAACUCGGAAACUGCCAUUGAUACUAUCAAUCUUGAAUCAUCUAGAGGUAAGCGGAAUAUGUCAUGUAGCGGUGAAAUGCUUAGAUAUGACAUAGAACACCAAUUGCGAAGGCAGCUUACUAUGGAUGUAUUGACACUGAGGCACGAAAGCGUGGGGAUCAAACAGGAUUAGAUACCCUGGUAGUCCACGCCCUAAACUAUGGAUACUCGACAUUUGCGAUAUACUGUAAGUGUNUGAGCGAAGACAUAAGUAAUACCACCUACGGAAGGUACGAGUCGCGAAGAGUUAGUAAACGUUAAAGUUAAGUAAGUUAGUACGGACGUAGAGACGUAGACCGACGGACGACGACGAGGGGAGGAGGGNG
rnacentral:rRNA from 1 species